rnacentral:rRNA from 1 species
GUAGGGAAUAUUGGACAAUGGGCGCAAGCCUGAUCCAGCCAUACCGCGUGGGUGAAGAAGGCCUUCGGGUUGUAAAGCCCUUUUGUUGGGAAAGAAAUCCUGUCGGUUAAUACCUGGCGGGGAUGACGGUACCCAAAGAAUAAGCACCGGCUAACUUCGUGCCAGCAGCCGCGGUAAUACGAAGGGUGCAAGCGUUACUCGGAAUUACUGGGCGUAAAGCGUGCGUAGGUGGUGGUUUAAGUCCGUUGUGAAAGCCCUGGGCUCAACCUGGGAAUUGCAGUGGAUACUGGAUCACUAGAGUGUGGUAGAGGGAUGCGGAAUUUCUGGUGUAGCAGUGAAAUGCGUAGAGAUCAGAAGGAACAUCCGUGGCGAAGGCGGCAUCCUGGGCCAACACUGACACUGAGGCACGAAAGCGUGGGGAGCAAACAGGAUUAGAUACCCGAGUAGUCC